UUCAAAUCGUCACCAUCAAUAACGACAAUACUGGAGCCAGAACGACGCCGUGGCCUGGAAUGUAAAAGAGAAGAGAAGAAAGUGGCGCAGUAGCCCAGCGAGUGAAGAAAAUGAAAUAAAUUACUGUAGAGUUAGUUGGACCAGCGAUUAAGAAAUUUUUGAUGUUUACAAUUAGUAAAAAAAUUCAAUUAAACCGAAAAAUGUAAAAUUACGAGAAAUAUGAAAUCGAGAGACUGAAAAAAGCUUUACAAAAGCUUAUCGGAGCUUUAAACAGACUUAAAGAGGUCAAAAAUUUCUACAAGCUCUGAAAUAUAAGAGAAGACUUCAAAAAAGCGAUUUCAACAAAUAUCUAUCUGAUAAGACUACUAAAGAGCCUCCAACGACUAGCACAGAUUCACAGAGGCUUUAGAAAUGCUUGAGAUGACGACGAAAUGAUGAUCAGCACAGUUCCUAAUACAAAUAACAGGCUCACAGAUCAAAGGAAACUAAAAUAUUAGGAGAGUAGUAAAAAUAAGUUUAAAAAGCACAAAAGCUUUCGGGCUGCAUAAAGAAGAGGAGAUUAUCUCUGCAAUAAAGCUCCCAAUGGGCUAAAUCAACUCUUAAAAUCUUGCGGGAUGGCUGUAAAGUGAUUAAAAGCCCAUCAAAAAGAAACUAAAAACUUGAAAUAUUAGAAUUUAACCUGCAACAAAACUUUUAAAUAUAAAUGUUAAUAGAUUUAAUGAAGGAACCGCAGUUACCGCUUUAAUAAAGCUCUGACAGAGACAUUCAAGCGUUAGAAAUAGAAAG